rnacentral:rRNA from 1 species
AACGAACGCUGGCGGCAGGCCUAACACAUGCAAGUCGAGCGGACCCUUCGGGGUUAGCGGCGGACGGGGGAGUAACGCGUGGGAAUAUGCCCUUCUCUACGGAAUAGUCCUGGGAAACUGGGGGUAAUACCGUAUACGCCCUGUGGGGGAAAGAUUUAUCGGGGAAGGAUUAGCCCGCGUUGGAUUAGGUAGUUGGUGGGGUAAUGGCCUACCAAGCCGACGAUCCAUAGCUGGUUUGAGAGGAUGAUAAGCCACAAUGGGACUGAGACCCGGCCCAGACUCCUACGGGAGGCAGCAGUGGGGAAUCUUAGACAAUGGGGGCAACCCUGAUCUAGCCAUGCCGCGUGAGUGAUGAAGGCCUUAGGGUUGUAAAGCUAUUUCAGCUGGGAAGAUAAUGACGGUACCAGCAGAAGAAGCCCCGGCUAACUCCGUG